AUUGAACGCUGGCGGCAUGCCUUACACAUGCAAGUCGAACGGUAACGCGGGGCAACCUGGCGACGAGUGGCGAACGGGUGAGUAAUGCAUCGGAACGUGCCCAGUAGUGGGGGAUAGCCCGGCGAAAGCCGGAUUAAUACCGCAUACGACCUACGGGUGAAAGGGGGGGAUCGCAAGACCUCUCGCUAUUGGAGCGGCCGAUGUCAGAUUAGGUAGUUGGUGGGGUAAAGGCCUACCAAGCCGACGAUCUGUAGCUGGUCUGAGAGGACGACCAGCCACACUGGGACUGAGACACGGCCCAGACUCCUACGGGAGGCAGCAGUGGGGAAUUUUGGACAAUGGGCGCAAGCCUGAUCCAGCCAUGCCGCGUGCGGGAAGAAGGCCUUCGGGUUGUAAACCGCUUUUGUCAGGGAAGAAAUCUUUUGAGCUAAUACCUCGGAAGGAUGACGGUACCUGAAGAAUAAGCACCGGCUAACUACGUGCCAGCCGCCGCUGUAACAC
rnacentral:rRNA from 1 species